AUAAAUUCUCGGCCUUUUGGCUAAGAUCAAGUGUAGUAUCUGAAGGGAGUGUGCUGAAUCUGGCCAGAGCAAAUGUUCUGUGAUGUCUAAUGUUUAUUAGAGAUUGACAAUAAUCAGCUGGUUUGGUAAUAAAAUGACACUCUCCAAGAGUUAUUUAGCCUUGAUGCUAAGCUAAUGUCAUGUUACCGUCC